ACAUAUUUUAAAACGAGUGUCAUCAAAUUUCAUUAUUUUGUGUUGUGCAUGUUGUGAACUGCAUCGAAUGUAUGAUCGUUUUUUGGACAUUAAUUUAAGAGAAUGUUAUGAACUGAAGAAACUACUACUAAAAUAACCGGAAAUUUGUUUUUUAAAUGUUCACAUUAGAAAUGGACACACCUAAAAAGCUUUGUUACAACAUCGUGCUUUUAGCCAUUAUAUGUUUUAUGUAUUCGUCUAUGUCAGAUGCCAACUGUUCUUUGCCUGAAGAUCUUAGAAAUACGGUUUGGGAAUAUACUUACACUAAAGUUGCAAGCAAUUCAGAACAAUCAACCAAUCUCAACAUCGCAAAUAAAUCGCUGAGUAAUUCUGUUAUCAGUUUAAAUGUUUUUGGGACUUCAAUAGACGAUUGGACUUGUAUCAAUAGUUUACAUAUAUCUAAUUCAACGUCAGUUGUUGUUUUCAAAAGUGACACAAGCUUUACCAGUGGACCUUUUUCAGGAAGCCGAUGGCUUUAUCUUUGUAUGAAAUUAACAAAAGUUACCGCAGAUUUAUAUUACUUUCACUUUUUGUCAGAUAUUUUCAAUGAUGGAUUUCCGAACGAGCGAGUGUUCGCGUCAGUAGAUGGUAACCCACCCAAUAAUAAUGAUCCCGUGUGUAGUACUUUCUGUCAAUAUACUGAAUCACCGAAAAUUCGAACAUUAAGAAGACAAGGCACCAAUGAUACUUUACCAAAUGAAGCUUCUUUGUGUGAACCCUGUAAUAGUUCAUGUUUCGAAGGUAUGACACAAUAUUUUUUGGUAAUCCCUUGUUUCGUUGACAAUUUUUUUCCGGCAAACGUAAUGAAAGUUACUGUUUUGAAUGUUUUGUCUCAAGCCAUAAUAUAAUAUAUUAUAAAAGUUUAAUGUGGUUAUUUUUGCAAAUAGUGUUCAGUCAGUAUAUUUGUGAAUAAUAAUUACUUUUGUAAUAUAAAUCAUGAAGAUGCUAAAGCUUCAUUCAUUGGAACAGAACUUUCUAAGAAAAGUAACUAUGCUUAAAACAUUAUAAUGUUGUAUAAUAUAUUGCUCUUGUGCCACAACAUAUAUCAAUACUUGUCGAUGGAAUGCUUUUACCAUGUUUAAUCAGUAUUUAUGACUUUUAUAUGACUAUCAACUAUAUUCAAAAGAGUUUGACUCAAUAAUGCUUGCUUUUACUAAAUACGCUUACAGUAAAAGAAAGCAUAUACAUUCUUUACAGUAGUAAAGUGCUUUAAAUUGAAAAAAAAAUAAAUAAAUUAUGUAGUCAUGCAUCACAUAAGUGUUGAAGGAUAACAUAAGACGAUUUUGAAACAAGAUUCAUAGAAAACAGUAAGUAUUUAAUAAACCAUAGAUGUUGUUAUUUUGUGAAAAAAAACAAAUUUCUAAAACAUUCAGUUAUAGUGAUCUUUUAAAACACAUGACAAAAUAAAGAAAUUCGAAGUUAUUUAAAGAAAUAUGUGGACAAUAAAAAGCAUAUGAACCAUAUCUGAAAAUAAAACCCAAGUAAAAAAUACAUAUCUAAAGCCUACACGACCUUUAUCAAUAAGCGUAAUGAUUUCUUUUUUUAUAUCAAAAUAGGUUUCAAAAUGAGCUUCUCUUGAUCAUUCAUACUAAUAUACAUGCAUUUCAAGUAUUAUUUGUCAACAUUGGAUAUAUGUCUCUCCAAAUAAGGUCGUCAAGUAUUUGUUUUAUCAAUUUUAUUAAUGCAUUCACAAUUGUGAAUGAGAAAAUAAGAAUGAGGCAGAUUUAAAUGCUAAUAUUAACACAUGCCUGCAUAAACUAUGUAUAUAUUUAUCUGAUCAAGGAUUUCAAUAUGUGUAACACAACAAAUGCAUCUAUCAUGUCUAGUGGAGCAGGAGUUGCUGACUCGUUUUGAUUACGUGUGUUAACUUCCGAUUUUCAAUGAGGUUAGUGUCGUUCUGUGUAGCUUUGUAUGGAUUACUUUUUUUUCUUUCUAGCUUUUUUUUCCCUUGUCAAUUUAUUUUUUAUCUAGUAUACUUUGUUUUGAUCGGAUUUCUUUACAUUUUCUUUCCAUUGAUAAUUUUUAUAUCCCUUUAAACGGGUUUUUCAAAACCUUUAAAUAACAAUGAUGAAACAUAAUGCACAUAAAAAUUCAAUAAACACCCAGGUCAUAUACGUCUACAGUUUUGAUGUUAUGAUAAGUUUAUUUUAGGAACCUGUUUAUAUUUUUUGAAGCAACUACAGAAAUGACAGCAAUAUAUUCAUUACGGAAAAAAACGAUAACAUAUUUUUCCACCGAAACUGACACUACGACAGACGGGCUAUUAACAGACACCACACAGCAAACAUCAAUAUAAUCCUCUUCUCCUCUAAUUGACAUUACGACAGACGUGAUAUCAACAGAAACAGCACAAAAAUAACGGUACUAUCUACUGCUACUGAAAUGAACACUACAACAGAAAUGACAAACACGACGUCAACAUCCGAAAAAAAACAACAACAAAAAAACGUUAGAAACAACUUCUACUUCUUUUGAAAUGGAAAGUACAACAGAAAUUAUAUCAACGACAAUAACAUCCAAACAACGCUACCGUCUACUUCUACAGAAAUGGAAACUACUACAGAAAUACCACCAGUCAACACAGAAAAUCUCCGUUCAUUCAACAUGUUCAACUUGAACCGAUUAAUAAAUAACACUACAAACAACAAUUCCAUACAGUUCUAAAGAUACGGAAAUCACUACCGAUUUGAAAGUAACAACUACAAUAUUGAAAGACUAAACGACAUUUGAAACUCAAUCAACAGAGAUAUAGAAAACCUGACAUAAUAAAGUGGGCCUAUUAAACUAGCUUGAUUAACAUGUUUUGGUUUGGUAUUUGUAAUUAUUGUUUUCCUUUUCCUGAAAGGACGUUUGAUGAUCAAUACAGAACGAAUCACAAACAAUAAAGAACAAGACGCGUAUGGAGCAGGAAAUUUCUGUUGCCUUAAUUUACAUUAACAUUUGCAUUGCAGAAACAAAUAAGGAAAAGAAGCAUAUGGCUUGACACCGGAAACAUGCUAUAUAUAUAAAGGGAAGCAAUUUGGAUUUCAGAAGAUUGCAAAUCAGCACUGGAACACUCAUUAAGAUUUAUAAUUAAUAAGAAAGCUUUGUAAUGAUAUUUAUCCAUACGAAUAAUCUGAAAAUGAUAAUACUUUUUUAAUUGAUUUGUAUAAUCAUGUUUCUUUAAAUUUGAAAUAUUCGAAACAGAUAUUCACAACAACAUGUUCAUGUUGAAAUCUUUUUCAAACAUGUCAAUAGUAGAACCAUAGGGUCUGGAUAUGUUUUCAUAAUAGAGAAAUAUGAGACCCAGAGAGAUAAUGACUUGAAAACACUGGCAAACACUAAAGGAUAAUGAAGUGCUAAAAUAAAAUGAACAGUUAAACGCACAAAAAAUCAAGAACAGAGAAAUAGAAUAUACAGAAUUGAAGAAUACAAUAAUAAGAGUCAAACAAAUUAUCCAUACUCUCGUAUUGAAUAUAUCAAAGUGAUUGCAUAAUAAUGAAAACUGAUCCAUUUUUUUGUUGUUUGAUGUGCUACAAUAUAGCUCUUUAAAUAAUAAUUUGUAUUGGAAAAAUAUGUCAAGGAAAAAAAUGGAAGAAUAACAAAAAUGAAUUUUGUUAGAAAAUAUAUACGCAUAUAUAGGAUGAGAAAUUAUCCACAUAACCUGAAAAAACUGAGUAAGUCAUGUUAAUAAAUUUAAGAUCUUAAAAAUAACCGAGGCUAACAAAACUGGGAAAAAUUGGAUGUGUGAACCGAUGAUCCUUUCAAAAUGAUUUUAGAUAACUGCCCGAUACUUUUUGUUUGCUAUAUUUGUAUCUAAAUAGACUGCUUAUUUGAAUUGUGCAAACUUAUCUAUAAAAUCACAAAAAGAAAUGGGAGCCUUUCAAAAAGCAACCCAUUGAAAGAAUAAGACGUCUAGCCUUACCGUCAUUAAAGUUUUGGGUACGAUUAUUGUUCUACGAUUAACAAGUCAACUAAUAAAAUUAUUGAGAAAAUUUUAAUCGCGAAAAGACCUGAAUACACCUUCAUUUAGCAUUUUCCAGUUACUUUAAACGUUUUAAUGAAAACAUUCAGUGAAAUCGUAUUAUAACACUUACAAAUGUACGUUGAUUAUUUAAUGUCUUGAAAUUGCAUAGAAGAAGGUGAGGUUUGAUUGCAAAUGAGCCAACUAUCAAGUUUAGGUUUGAGAGUGACUGUUUUUGUAUGUACAAUAAAAAGGUGUUAUAAUGAUUGAAAGAAGGCAAAUCACAAUUACUAUACUUCUAUGUAUUAUGUAAGAUGUACAUUGUUUUUGUUAAACUUAUUUAAGUAGAGCAGCACUAGUAUAUUUGUUAUAUAAAUUAGUAAUCUUUCGUGCUACUUUAUAUAUGUAGUAAUAAAAUUAAUAUAUUGA